UAGAGGCGGAGGCAAAGUGAGUAUUCAAGAAGGUUCUGCGGGCAAUGCUUGACAGACAUCACAGACCCAAAAAAACCCAAACCCUAGCCUUAAUCCCUAAUCGCCAUUUCUCUUAUCUUUUUCUUUUUCUCUUUCACUUUCUCUGCAAACAAACAUGUCUCACUUCGGUAGGUCGGGUCCCCCAGACAUCUCCGACACUUACUCUCUUCUCGUUCUCAAUAUAACCUUCCGCACAACCGCUGAUGAUCUAUUCCCUCUAUUUGAUAAGUAUGGGAAGGUCGUGGACAUCUUCAUCCCCAAAGAUCGAAGGACUGGUGAGUCGAGGGGUUUUGCGUUCGUGCGUUACAAGUAUGCUGAUGAGGCUCAAAAGGCCGUUGAUAGGCUCGACGGAAGAAUGGUUGAUGGUCGUGAAAUAACGGUCCAGUUUGCAAAGUAUGGGCCUAAUGCUGAGAGGAUUCACAAAGGAAGGAUUAUUGAAACUACCCCAAGAUCAAGGUACCGGUCAAGGAGCCGCAGUCCUAAAAGAAGAUAUCGUGAUGAUUACAGAGACCGGGAUUACAGGAGGAGAAGUCGCAGCAGGAGCUAUGAUAGGUAUGAACGGGACAGGUACCGUGGGAGAGAUAGAGAUUCUCGUCGCCGAAGCAGGAGCCGGAGCACCAGUCUUGAUUACAAGGGUCGUGGUAGGGGACGCUAUGAUGAUGAGCAUCGUAGUAGAAGCAGAAGCAGAUCAGUGGAUAGCCGCUCCCCUGCACGUCGCAGUCCUAGUCCUCGAGGGAGUCCUUCCCCUCAGAGGAGUGUUUCCCCUCAAAGGAGUACUUCCCCCAGGAAAAGUCCACGACGCGAAAGUCCUGACAAUCGUAGCCGUGAUGGAAGGUCUCCUACACCUCGCAGUGUCUCACCAUGCGGUCGCCCUGAUGCUUCACGAAGCCCAUCCCCUCGAAAUUCAAAUGGUGAUGAAUAGCUAUGCUUUUCUUGAAAAUUCAGGAGACACAAGACACUUGCACCUGUAGCAGUUUUGCUAUUGUUCGAUCUUGUAGUCAAAUGUGAAUGGUCUUAUCAGAGUCAUUGAAGGAUUUUAUGAUCUAAGUGCUGUUUGUUAUGAUCGGGAAAAGUGAUGGGGGCCUGAUAGGCGCAUGUUGACAUUGUUGCUGUUGAUGCUGUUUCUAUGUCAUUGAUGAUUGGCCGUGAAUUUGAUGCUGAUUGCAAGAUAUGCUGUGGUUUUAGGACUGUGUUUUACCAGUGUGCUGGUUAGACAGACAAUUAGUUGACUUGGUUUUUUGCUGAAUGAUCUGAUCAUUGAGGGAUUCUUGAUGCGGUGAUGAACACAAGUUGAGCAUAUUUUGACAUGUAGCUGGUGCCUCCUAGGAGUUGGACCUGUCAUUUGUUGAUUCAGAUGCAGAUACUAAACAUAAAACUGUGGGUACUAAAUAUGAACUUAAAUGUGCUGGUGUUUAUUUCAAAUCACUGAGAAGGGGACAAUGGUAAUAGAUUCACGGUUACUUGUUUUAGGGUGUUUUAAUGGAUAAUUUUUAACAUUUGACCUUUCAAGAUUAUAACAUCUGCUACUUAAUGUAGUGAUAAACGUUUGUUGUAGCACCCUGCUCCAUGACACUGUAGCUGUGAGGUGGUUGCUGAUGCAUCUUUUGUAUGAAAUGCUUGUGUUCGUGAUUAAUUUGAAGCAUUAACCAAUUACUGUAGCUGACUGUUGCUGCCCUUUUUGCUGGGGUCGGGUUGGCAAUGGUAUUAGUGGUUGGCACUGAUGAUGGCUGUCUAGCUGUGCUGCUGAUUUAUGUUGAUUCCAAUGCCGCCUGAGUCCUGACAAAUCUUUUUCACUAUUAAGCUGGUGAUCGGUUUUGUUGAUUCAAUUUCAGUUAUUGGUUUAUUCUUAUGGGAUUAUUGCUGGUCAUUUGUUGCUAUGACACUGAUCACCAUUGCAAAGUGAUGUGGUUACUGUUUUGCAACUGAAAUAACAACCAAUGUGUU